AGACAUUGCUCCCAGCGAGGAAGCCAUCAACGACCGCACCGUCAACUAUGUCCUGAAGUGCCGAGAAGUUCGCUCUCGGGCGUCCAUUGCCGUAGCCCCGUUUGACCAUGACAGCCUCUACCUGGGGGCCUCGAACUCCCUUCCUGGAGACCCUGCCUCUUGCUCUGUUCUGGGGUCCCUCAACCUGCACCUGUACAGAGACCCAGCUCUUCUGGGUCUCCGCUGUCCCCUGUAUCCCAGCUUCCCAGAGGAAGCAGCACUGGAGGCUGAGGCAGAGCUGGGCGGCCAGCCCUCUUUGAUCUCCCUCCCUAGCUGCUGAGGACUCAGAGAUCUCGUCCCAAUGCCCAUCAGCCAGUGGCUCCAGUGGCUCUGACAGCAGCUGUGUGUCAGGGCAGGCCCUGGGUAGGGGCCUGGAGGACUUACCCUGUGUCUGAGCCCGGGACUGGACGAGCAGUAGAUCCAGCAGCCUGCAGCUCCAAGGAACAUUGCCUCUCUGGAUCUGCUGUGACCAGGGUGUGGCUGACACCUGGGCUACCUCCAACCUACAUGUGCAACGCUGUUGACUACCCUUUCUGAUGUGUGUGGCCAUUGGACUAACUGGCACGGGGCCUCUCUAGGGAAGUCUGGUUGUAGAGCCUGAAUAGGCUCCUGGCCCCAUGACCCCUUCUCCUGUCCCCAGCUCCCAUCCCAGUUGUGGG
rnacentral:lncRNA from 1 species